AGUGAACGCUGGCGGCAGGCCUAACACAUGCAAGUCGAACGGCAGCACAGGAGAGCUUGCUCUCUGGGUGGCGAGUGGCGGACGGGUGAGGAAUAUAUCGGAAUCUACCCUUUCGUGGGGGAUAACGUAGGGAAACUUACGCUAAUACCGCAUACGAACUGAGGUUGAAAGCGGCGGACCGCAAGGCGUCGCGCGGAUGGAUGAGCCGAUAUCCGAUUAGCUAGUUGGCGGGGUAAAGGCCCACCAAGGCGACGAUCGGUAGCUGGUCUGAGGGGAUGAUCAGCCACACUGGAACUGAGACACGGUCCAGACUCCUACGGGAGGCAGCAGUGGGGAAUAUUGGACAAUGGGCGCAAGCCUGAUCCAGCCAUGCCGCGUGUGUGAAGAAGGCCUUCGGGUUGUAAAGCACUUUUGUUGGGAAAGAAAAGCGGUCGGUUAAUACCCGGUCGUUCUGACGGUACCCAAAGAAUAAGCACCGGCUAACUUCGUGCCAGCCGCCGCCGCAGUAA
rnacentral:rRNA from 1 species